GUGUNNUAGCUCAGUUGGUAGAGCACCGCAAUGGCAUUGCGGGGGUCAGCGGUUCGAGCCCGCUUAGCUCCA
rnacentral:tRNA from 1 species